CAGUAGCCACGGGAAUACGUAGGUGGCAAGCGUUGUCCGGAAUUAUUGGGCGUAAAGGGCUCGCAGGCGGUUUCUUAAGUCUGAUGUGAAAGCCCCCGGCUCAACCGGGGAGGGUCAUUGGAAACUGGGAAACUUGAGUGCAGAAGAGGAGAGUGGAAUUCCACGUGUAGCGGUGAAAUGCGUAGAGAUGUGGAGGAACACCAGUGGCGAAGGCGACUCUCUGGUCUGUAACUGACGCUGAGGAGCGAAAGCGUGGGGAGCGAACAGGAUUAGAUACCCGCGUAGUCCCUGUCUCUUAUAC
rnacentral:rRNA from 1 species